rnacentral:tRNA from 1 species
GGAGGGUAUAGCUCAGUGGUAGAGCACAUGCUUAGCAUGCAUGAGGUCCUGGGUUCAAUCCCCAGUACUUCCA